GACAGAGGGGGCAAGCGUUGCUCGGAAUUACUGGGCGUAAAGGGCGCGUAGGCGGGAUGGCAAGUCGGUCGUGAAAUCCCUCGGCUCAACCGAGGAACGUCGAUCGAUACUGCUGUUCUUGAGGAUUGCAGAGGAGACUGGAAUUCCCGGUGUAGCGGUGAAAUGUGUAGAGAUCGGGAGGAACACCGGUGGCGAAGGCGGGUUGCUGGGCUGAUACUGACGCUGAGGCGCGAAAGCUAGGGGAGCGAACGGG
rnacentral:rRNA from 1 species